ACACACACACACACACACACACACAUCUCUUGGCACAUCGAAUCAAUGGGAAUUUCAGUGUCACGAUGAGUCACUUGAAUUUCCUGUUUGUGAGAAAUAUAUUUAUCUGGGAAGUCUUUCAGAGUGGGCAGAAGAGCCUUCUAAAUUAACUUCAUGCACUUAAGAUUAAUCGAAUAUAUGAACACUUGCUUUAAGUCCCUAGUUGCAGGCUGUUUUGGCCUAUCCUGUGCUUAAUUUGUCUCUAACUUGGUGAGAACUUCAUGGUUGAUAUGGAAAUUUGAGAAUCCAGCAGUCAACGCAGGCUGCCACAAAUAGAGGUUUUUUCUUUGGAUAAGGUGGGACACCCCCAACUAAAAUGCCUUUGUAUAGAAAAUGGUAAGAACACCACAACAAAUGCCUAGACUGGCAUGUCUCUUCCCUUCUCCUCCUUGGCCACAAUCCUUUAAUUUCUUUCCCACUAUCCUGUCUCCCCUCUAGUCAUGUUGUCCUCUACUCAGUCAGACUCUAAUUAUUAACUACUACCUUCUGGAUAUUCUCCAUCUCUGAGCCUCGUUGACCUCUCAGUCCAUUGACUGUUUUGACUGUUUCUAUGGUAAUGACUUGUUAGAGUGUGGGGGUGUCAGAUUAAUCUGUUAUUGGUCCCAUCCCAUGGGAUGGAGAAAUGAGCACUGCAUGUUCCAGGGAUAGCCUGUUCAGAGGUUCCAGAAUAAUCCGUGGGAAAGAUUUUAAUGUUGUGUGCAGUCCUCGCUGAAAUGAACAGACGUGCUAGCUUUCUCCUCAUUCAACCUCUGGAUAUUGAGUAUUAUGUGGGCUUCCAGCCAAAACCACACGUGGGCAGGAAGGAGCGCACUGCAGUCCGCAGUGUUUUUGUUGUGACAAAGGAGGCUUUCUGCUGCAGUGCCUGAUGCAGAGACACACCCCCAAAACAUCAGCGAGCCUCCACCACGUUUGACCAUAUUUAUGGGGCAGCAGGUGGCUGUAAUCAGAAGAUCGCCGGUUCAAACCCAGCCUCAGCACAUCUGUGGGUCCUUGAGCAAGGCCCUUAACCACCAGCUCCCUGGGCGCUGCUAAGGGCGCAUUCAAGACACAUCGUGCGUCAGAGAAACACAAAUGCUAUGAAUCCUCAAAGAAGACUUCAUUACCCAUCCAGAAGUACGUUCUGUGGUGUGCAUUUAUUGGAUUACAAAUGGUCAUCUAUACUCUUGUUUUUAGGAGAGUACGAAAGAACUCAACUUGAGAAAUAUGUUGUUCUUGUCAAUGGAUGGCCCAAAUGUAAAUUGGAAAUUUGGUGCACUCCUCCAUCUAGAGCAUGGAGAACAGUUUGAUGGAGCAAUAGUUGGAAGCUGUGAUUUGCAGCCUGGGAGGUGGACAAGGUGCUGGGAGCCUUGCAUUUUCUUUUUCAUUAUGCACCCACCAGAAGGGAGGACUUCAGCAAGGUGACGAAGUGUACAAAAUUUCCAUUGCUGUUUUGUGGACAUAUGUGGCUUGAAAAUUUGCCUGCAAUUGAAAGAGCAAUUGAACUUUGGUGAGCUGUCAUGAUGUAUGUGGAUGAGGUGAAAAAGAAGAGACUCCCAAACCCAAGAUCAUCCUUAUUUGACACAAUGGCAGAAGCCCAACGUGAUCCACUCAUUCUGGCAAAGUUCAGGGUUUUUUUCGGCUAUUGCAACAAAUUUCCAGCCAUUUUUGGUGAAGUACCAGACGGAUGUCCACAUGAUCCCUUUCCUCUGCAAGGAUCUGGAGAAUCUGAUCAGGGUAUGUACAUCAUCACCCGCCUUCACACUCGGACGUGCCAUCAUCACCCGCCUUCACACUCGGACGUGCCAUCAUCACCCGCCUUCACACUCGGACGUGCCAUCAUCACCCGCCUUCACACUCGGACGUGNCAUCAUCACCCGCCUUCACACUCGGACGUGCCAUCAUCACCCGCCUUCACACUCGGACGUGUCAUCAUCACCCAACACGUGAGUUCCGAGAAAGUGCCGGGCAAUGCACACUCUAUCCCACGGCUGAGCUCCGGUAAGUGCUGAGAUUUCCCCCUUCUUUUAUACCAAAUUGGGAGUGGUACACAUGACCAGGCUCACCCCCCCCCCCCCCCCUCAGACAAUGCGCUCUUUGUUCUUUGUUCGUGUCCUAACUCUUUUUGCGAGAAACAAGCUAUAUAAGUAAUCAGUGAAAAACAUGUUUCUGCAGUUCGACCUUGGCACAAUAAUAUUAUGGGUGAAUCAUGGAUGACAUGUUUGAAUCUCUGGUUAUUUUACCACACAAUCAGAAAUCCAUUCCUCAAUCCCCUCAUAUGUAUGUCUGCUAGGUCGGGUUGGGGGUGCUCCACCACACUGUGAGGAAUGGAACCAAACAAUAACAGCUUCCCCAAUCAUUACAGUAACAGGAGGACAAUGAACAUUUUUUUCUAAUUCUAUGCUACGUGGGCGACGUGGCCAAUUACGUGGUCACCUGCGAGUUCGUCUUAAUACACACAUAUAAAGUGUCAUUGCUACUAGGCCAUCAUGCUGACAGUAAAUCUUUCAGUUUUGACAUAUUUUGUUUUUCCAGGAUCUUCUGAGACGUUUCAUUAAGCGGAAUGCAAUGGAUGUUUCUUUGGUUAAACUUGUGAGGCUUGAUGUCAAAGACCAAAAGCUGUGGGUCGAUUUCCACCAGGUGGGAGUUGGCCUUGGGGCUACUAUAGUCCUAAAGGUAGGGGCAGUAACUGUCAAUAACACCAGUUCUUAAAAACAAAACAAAAAAAGGUACUUGGACUGUUAAUUGAUAAUUUAUGGAGUUAAAACUAUGAACACCAAGUCCAGAGUUGAUAUGUUUCUUCAUGAGCACAUGUCCACCUCCUACAUGGAGCUCUAGCACUUUGUUCGGAAUGGUUAGGGUUAGGGUAAGGGUUAGGGUUAGGGUUGAAUGUGGCUCUUCCAUCAAUAAACAAGUUGAGACAUGCAACAUGGAGGAAAACCCUGUAAUUGCACAGAGACCCAUCCGUGAUUAUGUAUGAGUUUGUGGGUCAGUGACCAAAAUGCUUCUCACCAAAGAUGUGAAAUGUGCUUAUGUUUGUGUUUCGCCUCAUACCAGCGCACAAAAUUUUAGCCUACAUAUAUAAAUGUAAAUAAUAAUAAUAAUAAUAAUACAUUCAUUUCAGAUCCAAGUACCAUACAUAUUUAGGGGGGCUGAGGGGCGGGCAUGCAUGUUGUCAUGGGGGGCCCCCUCCAGAACCACCCCUCAAAACACUCUUAAAUGCUGGGGGAUCUUGAAAAAUGUGUGAUGUCAGGCCUUAAAGUGGCCUUCAAUCAGACUUUCCUUGAAGGUGCAUAAAAAUAUAGUUCCAUAGUACUUUAGAUUCAUACUGUAGCUUUCUUUGCAGUAAGCAACGGUCGGUAGUUUUUCUUUUUCUUUGCUUAUAAGCAGCUUAAUGUAAGCGAAAGAACAUAAGCCAGUUGGCAAAAGUCCUGUACAUCCUCCAUGUUCACAACUGGCUUGCUUCCAUGAAAACAGGAGAAACAUUCUUCAGUCCCAUGAAGAAUAGCUAAUUGGAGCUCACCGAUGUAGGCAUAACAAAAUUUUUACAUUUACGUGUGCCUGCGGUAGUGCGUUCACAGAAAGAUUAGUUGUCACAGAGUGGUGAAAUUUUUGUCUGUUUCUGGGGAAAAAAAAGAUCUUUAGGAGAAUUUUUGCAUUAUUAAACAAAAAAGUAUUAGUGCAGGCAGGUGCUCAGUCUCAGUGUAUGUAGUACGUGUGUUUUGCCGAGUUCUGUUUGUGCUGCCAGGUGUAGAUGCCAUCCCACUGUUUGCGGCAUGAACAUCCAUCUGCAAAGUUCGGUUUGGCUGCGUGUCAAGCUUUUUUUGAGCAUGGGACAAUACGGUCAGAUGCUGUUUGAGUAGCUUAAAUUAACCUAGUGAAAUAUCCUCAUUUCAUAGGAUGACAGCUGAUCAAUUGGAAUGUGUGCAUGUAUUAAAAUAAACUGUGCAAAUUGUAUUAAAUACUAAUAAGACCAGCCUCAGUGGUGCAUUUCUGUUGAUCGCAAGAGCAGGAGGUAACUGGCUGUGACCUUCUCACAGGAAGCUGCAGAACGGCUGCCUGAUGGAGAGAUGGAUCAUGCAGAAGAUAGGCGAGAAAAGCCCGUCUAAGAAUAUCGACACUUCUUCUUUCUGUGGAGAGAGUGAAGCUUGCAUGACUCAGACUCGAAAAGGGUACUGUGGCCUUUGUUUUACUUAACUUAGGGUGACCAUAUAAUCCAUGUCAUCCCGGACACUUUGAGCUAGGACAGGAUUUGUAACCUACCAUUUCAAUUAAAAGGACCUGGAUUUCACUUAAGUACCGAGUUCUUGCUGUGUGCUGAUUGGUCAGUCUCCUA